rnacentral:misc_RNA from 1 species
UAGAAUUAUAAGCGAGGGUUGUCGCUGGCCUUUCGGGGCAUGUGCACGCCCGAGCUCUUAAAUCCACAACACACCUGUGAACCCACCGUAGGCCUUCGGGCUUAUGCAUUUAUACUCUGUAUGUGUCAUAGAAUGUCAUGUUGCAUUAAAAACGCAAUUAAAUA